rnacentral:rRNA from 1 species
UACGGAGGGGGCUAGCGUUGUUCGGAAUUACUGGGCGUAAAGCGCACGUAGGCGGACCGGAAAGUUGGAGGUGAAAUCCCAGGGCUCAAACCUUGGAACUGCCUUCAAAACUAUCGGUCUGGAGUUCGAGAGAGGUGAGUGGAAUUCCGAGUGUAGAGGUGAAAUUCGUAGAUAUUCGGAAGGAACACCAGUGGCGAAGGCGGCUCACUGGCUCGAUACUGACGCUGAGGUGC